rnacentral:rRNA from 1 species
UUGGCCUACGGGACGCAGCAGUCGGGAAUAUUGCGCAAUGGAGGAAACUCUGACGCAGUGACGCCGCGUAUAGGAAGAAGGGUUUAGGAUUGUAAACUAUUUUAGACAGGGAAGAAAAAUGACUGUACCUGUAGAAUAAGCUCCGGCUAACUACGUGCCAGCAGCCGCGGUAAUACGUAGGGAGCAAGCGUUAUCCGGAAUUAUUGGGUGUAAAGGGUGCGUAGACGGGAAUACAAGUUGGUUGUGAAAUCCCUCGGCUUAACUGAGGAAUUGCAACCAAAACUAUAUUUCUUGAGUGCAGGAGG